rnacentral:misc_RNA from 1 species
GUGAAUCAUCGAAUCUUUGAACGCAAAUUGCGCUUCCUGGUAUCCCGGGAAGUAUGCCUGUUUGAGGGUCAGUAUUAACAAAAAAUCGGUUUGUGUGCAAAUUGUGACGUUUCAGGAGUUUUGGCUUAUCUUAACUUUUUUGGUUAAGUGGCUUAAAAUUGACCUUUUUUGCGCAUUUUUAAACGUACAUCAUUUUUUUUUUUUUCUUUGUCUAUUCUUAAUGCCAA